CAUAUCAAUGGAGUUCGGAGCGACAAAGAAGAUUGAGGCGAUCAAGAAGACAGGUGAUUUCACAAAGAUCAAAGCUACUCAGCCACGUCAACAAGUUUUCCCACAUUCGUUCAACUCCCUAUUUGACAGCCAUCAGUCUCAGAAAAAACCCCAUAGUGAUCCCCCCACGUUCUCUUCUUUUGGAUCUAUGCAAAAGAAACUAGGGAUUUCUAAAACCCUUUUUGAUUCUGAUCAAGGAUGGACAGUAGUUAGCUGGAAAAAGAAAUCCAACCAGAUGGACAAUAAGCUUCUCAAAUACCCCUUCCCAUCAGAUUACAUGGAUCCCAAACAACCCCGACGAUGUUUCAACUGUGGGGAUGAACGUCAUUCAGUUAAAUUUUGCCCUAAGGGGGCUUUCAUCUGUUUCAAAUGUCAUGAGGAAGGGCAUAUUGCUAAAUUCUGCAGAUCUAAUCUUCGUCCUCUAGAGAAGAAGGUGGAUUUGUCAGAAUCUACAACUCUUUGCAACAACUCCAAAGUGCUCACUUCUUUUGCUAUUCUCACUAUCACUGAAGGUGCUCCAUCGUUAGAAUUGAUCAAAAUCAAGCUGUCUUGGCUUUUCAAUUGGAAGUCUUGGAGUAGAAAAGUUAUACCUAUUAAAGACAAGAAUUACUUGGUGGAAUUCCCCUCUUCUUUUCAAAUGUCGGAAGCAAUUGACGAAAAAAGUUUGAAUUUUGAAUGCUUUAAGGGUUGGUUUGCACCGUGUACAGAAAAUAUGGGUAUGAAAAUUGUGAAUUCUUCUUUCUUUCAAUGGAUUAAGAUUAAAAUUUUACCAUUUCAAUUCUGGUCCUUGGAUAUUACCAAGAAGAUCAUAGGAUCCUUUGGGGAAAUGGUGAGGGGUUGUAAGAACAUCAAAGACAAAGUUAAUGACCACGAUAUUAGAGUGCUUGUUCAAGUUAAAUCUGCUGAAUGUAUUCCAAGAAACAUUAUCUGUUCUUAUACUUCUCAAAUUGAUUCGUUCACUAGAGAAGUGAAUUUGGAAAUUCAACCUAUUGGUGUUGGACAAUUUGGUUCAGAAGUUAUUGGCUCACAACUUAAUGCUAUGAAAAUGCAAGGAGAAGUGAUAAUUGAUUCUCUAUGGCUUGAUCAAGUCACUCUUGAUAAUGUCAUCGUACCUCCGGUAGUAAGUUGACCGGAAAAAGUUCAAUUUGUUCUCAAAACAGAUAAGACUAAAGCAGUCAAUGUUAUGGUUUCAAAUGCAGAGGAAAUCAAGGAGGAUAAUGCGAUGCCGUUACCAGAGGGUAUUCAAAAUUUGCCAAUUUUGGCAACUAACUAUCAGGCAGAAUCUCAGGCGAAUUCUUCUAAUGACAGCUCUGAGUCGUUUGCCAAAUCUAUUCAUGAUUUCCCAGUAGAAUUAGUCAAGCAUAUUUGGAAUGGACAAACGGCCUAUCUGGAGAAAUUAACUUGGCUUAAUUUUUUUGGCGGGAAACAUGACGUCAGCAAUUCAAAUUCUUCAGCUACCUCUCUCCCGCCAAAAUCAAAUGAUACUCCAGCCCUUCAGAUGUCCACUUCUAUUCCUCCAGGUUUUUCACAUAAGCAAUCUUCUUCGACAUCUCGUUCAGCAAGGAAAGCUCUUAUCAGCCGCAAACACAAGAAGUUCUUGCAACACAUCUCUUCAUCUAAAUCUGCCUCUAAAAUUGCUAAAAAAGUCAAUGCUCCCAUUGAUAGAGAAGACAAGGAUGUUUAUUGGUGGGAACUUUCAAGACUUCGUCAGAUUUUUGAUGGUCCAUGGAUUAUUUGUGGGGAUUUCAAUGCUACUUUAUCAUCAGAGGAAAGAAAUGGCAAAAAUAGUUCUUUUAGAGAUAUCAAUUCUUUCAGAAACUUUGUCUCAUCCAAUUCCCUUAUCAACCUACCAUUGUCUGGACGUUAUUUUACUUGGUCUAACAAACGUCACAACCCUGUGUUAGCUAGAUUGGAUAUAUUCUUAGUUUGUGCUGACCGGGAUAGGAAACAUCCUUUAAGUCUCCAAUAUUAUGGACCUUCUAUUGGCUCUGAUCACUCUCCAAUUAUUCUUGAUUGUGGGGGUAUAAAACCUAAUCCUCCAUUAUUCAGAUUGAAAAGAGUUGGUUUCAUAACAACAAAUUUGUUCCUUUCAUUGAAUCUUCAUGGAAAUCUUUUCAAUGUCAAGUUACUCCUGUAGAUAUCUUCAUUAGAAAACUCUAUCUUCUAAAAGGAAGAAUUAAGUGGUGGAGGAAAAAUGUUUAUGGAUCUCUAUUCUCUAGAAAUGAUAGUCUGCUAUCUAAAAUCAACUCCUUUGACUUAAUUGAAGAGCAAAGACCCUUAACUUCAACUGAGUUAGAUGAGAGAAAAUCUUAUCAAUCUUGUUAUGCCUCUAUCAUUCAAGAAGAAGAAGCUUACUGGCAACAAAGAUCUCGUAUCCAAUGGUCGAAAGAGGGUGAUGCUAAUACAUCUUUCUUCCAUAGAACAACUUCCAUUCACAAAAGAUCAAACCAUAUUGUUUCCAUCAAUCACUUGGGUACUGAUAUUACUGACAAUGGUGAAAUCGCUAAAGCUUUUUAUGAUUUUUAUCUUAACCUCUUUGGUCAAGAUAGCAUGAGCAACAUGACAGUUAACUGGGACUUCUUAUAUCCUUCCCAAAAUCAAAACUUUCUUCUU